rnacentral:rRNA from 1 species
AGGGAAUCUUCGGCAAUGGGCGAAAGCCUGACCGAGCAACGCCGCGUGAGCGAUGAAGGCCUUCGGGUCGUAAAGCUCUGUUGUUAAGGAAGAACAAGUACGAGAGUAACUGCUCGUACCUUGACGGUACUUAACGAGAAAGCCACGGCUAACUACGUG